rnacentral:lncRNA from 1 species
AACAAAAACUUAAAAGUUCCAAACUGGGCUUAAAUAUUUCAUGUAAUAAAAUGUUUAUAGUACUUAUCUGAUAAGAAAGAGUUCUUUUGGUUUGUUUCUGUUACUUUUGGUUUAUCUGAGGCAGGGCUACACAAAAGAAACUCUGUUUCAAAAAAACAAAAAUACACGUCUAAUUCAACUUCAGUUGCCUAACAACUGUCAAAGCAUGCAAGAUUAAAGACAGAAAAUAGAAACCGAUUCUUACCCUUUAUAAAAUACUCUGAAAACCCCAUAGUGAUGAAACUGCUAGUUGCUAUCUUGCUCCCUAUAAUCUGACUACUUUUCAAGAGUUACAGGGCAAAAGGCAUUCAUUCUCAUAACCCAAGAUGUUUUACC